ACGCAGCUCUCGACCACUGCGGAGUUGAAUAGCAUGAGCAUACUCUUUCGGAUUCUGAAUAGCUUUCCCUGGUAGUUGUCCGGGGUGUGUAGGUGCAGAAGUAGAAGCAGCUUGGCUUUCCAUGUACUUCACCUUGGAGUUUAGAGCCUCAAUCUUGAUUUGAAUCUCAGCCAUCUUCUUAUCACCAGCUACUUGGCCGUGUAGAAUCUGCUGAAGCAUUUGCUUCAUGUCUUGAUCUUGGGCAGGUGGAGUUGGCUGGGGUUGCGGUGCAAAACCGGGUGGUGGAUUAUAUUGUGGAUAACCGCCACUAAACUGCUGCUUUGGGACAAAGCCUUGAUUGUACGGUAUGAAAGGCUUGGACUGGUUCUGUUGUUGCUGAGGGUAAACCUGAUCUUGAGGAUUUGCAACAUUCGUGCUCCGGUAAGAUAGAUUAGGAUGAGCAGGCUUGUAGGGGUUGUAGCCCUUGUUGUAGC
rnacentral:lncRNA from 1 species